rnacentral:rRNA from 1 species
AUGCUAGGAUUGGCGGCGAUCGACCGUGCAAGGAAACGACAGGCAUCGCGCCUAACUUGGCUCCGGUUGGGCGACGCGGGCAAAAAAUUCUUCCAUGCAAAGAUGAGAUCGCGACGCCGAAGAAAAUUCAUACACAGCAUCCAGGUGGCUGGUGAGAUCGCCACGGCGCACGAAGACAAGGAGAGGAUGAUUCAUCAGCAUUUCCAGGCGAGUCUGGGCUCCAAGGCUGCUCGCCUGAUCGACAUCAACUGGGAAUCGCUGAACAUGCCGACGAUCCAGGGAGGGGGCCUGGAUAAC